rnacentral:ribozyme from 2 species
CAUCUAAUGCAGCCAAGGACGGUGACAAGCCCGUGUAAAUGCAGAGUCGAUG